rnacentral:lncRNA from 1 species
UCUACCAAGAAUAAAGUAAGACGGUCAAGGAAAGCGAACAAGUUACUACUACUGGUUGCAUAUGUGCUGUUCUUCAAAUGUUUGAUUUAGCUCAUUUUUCGUUUGGCAACUUUGAAUUGAUUUUGUUGAAGAGAAGAAAACAUAAAUGUGAAUAAAGGGAGGCAUGUGGAAACAAAAUUACUCAUUGGUCAAUAACUCGUGAACAACCUCCAAAGACCAAAAGGGAAAGCAUAUAACAGUGUAGUAAGAGACAUAAGAGUAUUUUUUCUAUUCAAAUUACAAACUGUACAAUUGUAAAUAAAUGGAACAAUAACAACUUAUUAUUUAAAUCAAGGGAUGAAGAUCCUUCAGCUUAUGAAUUGAAAUCUCCUCCGCUAACACAUAACUUCAACAAAGCUCAACAUAAUUAAAAUAAAAACUGACCUUUAAUUUGAUACACAAAAAGAAAAGAAUUUCUUUUAUGGUCUUAUGAGACCAUACUUGGCAUAAGCAGCAGCAGACAGCAAUGAUUUCCACAAUGCUUCCCAGCGUCGAACCAAGCUCUGAAACCCCCUCUUUUAUUUCUUUUUAUUUUGUAUUUUUGGAGUCUUUUCGGAAAUCUCGUAUCUGGAUUUGAUUCAAGAUUUUUUAUGCCUCUAGUGUGUAAAUUGUGUGUGAAUGAGAUUAGAGGGAGUGAUGUCUUCGUAUGUGUGGAGAUGAGUGAAUUCUUGGCUGGGUUUUGGUGGUGCUCUAGUGGGUGAACAUGGGUUUUGGGUUGAAGAUGACAGUGAAGAAGGAUAUGGGAGCUGGUUCUAGAUCCACGUUUUUCCCAAGUCUAGGGAAUUAGGGAUCUCCAAAAAUCUCAUCUCUUUUUGUGCCUUAGCCCCC